CUUACCUGAAUCCAGCGCACAAGCCCCUCAGCACUGGGUCAGGCUCCGCCCACACUUCUCUACCGCCGGUGGGGGAGACCUAAUGCGCAUGCGCGGCAAUGGCCGUGCUCGCAUUAGGAUUUCCCCAUAGGAAAGCAUUAUUAAUUUCCAUGGGGAAAAAUCUGACGCUGGAGGUCCUCAUGCAGAGCAUGAGGACAUUCAACGUCAG